AUAGAUCGAUCCUCAGUCAGAUUGCAGGCUGCAGGCAUACUUCACACAAGUAAGUCGAACGCCAGCAGCGGUGCUUGCCUUUGGUGGCGAGUGGCGGACGGGUGAGUAAUGUACCGGAACGUACCCAGUAAAGGGGGAUAACACAUCGAAAGAGGUGCUAAUACCGCAUACGCCCGGAGGGGGAAAGAGGGGGAUCGUAAGGCCUCUCGUCAUUGGAGCGGCCCAGACGGGAUUAGCUAGUAGGUGAGGUAAGAGCUCACCAAGGCGACGAUCCCUAGCUGGUCUGAGAGGAUGACCAGCCACACUGGAACUGAGACACGGUCCAGACUCCUACGGGAGGCAGCAGUGGGGAAUA
rnacentral:rRNA from 1 species